GUGCCAGGCGCCGGCGCAGCGCAGAGGCCCGGCGGGGCGGCGGGUGGCGGGCGGCGGGCGGGGGGGGGGCUGGGGGCGGCCGGCGGCUGCUCACCGAGGCUCCCCGCGGGCGGCGGGCUCCGGGCGGCGUCCGACGGCCCGGCUCGGCCAUUGCGGAGGCGCUGCGGCGGGCGGGGGGCGCGCGUCACCGCGGGCGGGCGGGCGGGUGCCCCAAACCCAGGGCCCUCCCCCGACACUCCCCGCUGCCGCCGCCGGGCGCGGCCCCGCGACACCCCAACCCCACCUCUUUUCCUCCUCUGCCAUCUCAGGCUGGCGGGGAGCGGGUUUGCGUCUACGGAAAGCCGGCGACGAUGCUGCCGAAAAUAACCCCGGUGCUGCGCAGGGCGGAGGGGGGGCGGGCGAGGCCCGCCUCGGCCGCACCCGCACUGACCGCCACCCACCCCGUGCUGCCGGGGGCGUCCGCGCUCAGAGCCACUCACCCACACUCCUCGCCGCCGCGCAGCCCGCAGCCCGGAAGACUUGCACGUGCGUGUUUUAGCCGUUAACUCCCGGCUUCCGUCUCCAAACGCUGCCUUCCACGCCCCGGAUGAGAGAGAAAUGCUCUUUGGAGCCGUGCGUGGAACAAUCCUCUCCGUGCUCCGGAACCAGACCCACAAUUCCAUCGUUAAGCCGCGGGCUCUGGGGCUGCUGGCCUCAGGGUCCCAGCACCCCCACUUCUUCAGGCUCCGGGUCUGGGGGGCCCCCCGGAAAAGUGCCCGCCUCUUAGAAUUGCCGGAGGGGCUCCCCGGGCUGAUAGGUGUGGCAGGGCAGGGUAAGGAUUGUAUGAAAACCGACUCGCGGGGCACAAUGGCCCCUGGGAAGGACAUUCCUUCUCCCACACCCAGACUUGGAAAUCAGCAGACCCCGAAGUUCGGCGCGUGAGAGCAAAUGUGUUUGCAAGCGGAUGAUUCCUGGUGACCCUCACAGGUGCAUAUGCCCCUCCUCCCUUCCUCCCAGACCCAGGCACUUUGGCCGCAGGAAACCCAGAACCGUCCGGGGAUUGUUGGCUAAGAACACGUUUGCUAGCACAGAAGCUCACGUGAAGAGUUGUUCUCCCACCACCGGACACCCUGGGGCACCUUCAGCUGGCCCAUUCCAACAUUCUCUGCCAUCCGGACGAUGGACACGGAGUAGGACUUGGAAGUCCCACCGUGGCAGCCCCCGUCUGCCCUUCCUUGGUCAUGAUCUCGUAGUUUGUGACAUCAAGCCCCACGUCAGCUCUGCACUGACAGCGUGGAGCCUGCUUGGGAUUCUCUCUUCCUCUCUCUCUGCCCCUCCCCUGUUCUCUCUCUCAAAAAUAAAUAAAUAAACUUAAAAAAAAUAUUGUGCCAGUUCAGUGUCUCUAGCAGCAAAUUAAAAACAAAACAAAACAUAGGAGUGCCUGGGUGGCUCAGUCGGUUAAGCAUCCGACUCUUGAUCUCAGCUCAGGUAAUGAUCCCAGGGUCAAUCAGGAGCCCUGCGUUGAGCCACAAUGAGCGUGGGGCCUGCUUGAGAUUCUCUUUCUGUGUGUGUGUCUCUCACUCUCUCUCUGUCUCAAAAUAAAAAU